GAAGGGGUGGACAGCCCCAGAACCAAGUGACAGGUGUUCCCAUGAUCCCCAUAGCCAUGAAGUUGCUCUUUGGUGGUGGGGGGGGUCUCAAAAUGAGAUGCAAGUUGGCAUCAAACGUUUCUGGUUUGCUUUGUGGUUUGUAAAGUCAUCACACCCUGCGCUGUUGGAAGUUGGCAACAAUAUCUUUGAACAAAAACGGACAACAAAGCAGCUGUGAUGUUGAGGGAUGAAGCCCAUUGGGAGUCAGAACCACCAUCCAGUUCACUGCUGCUUAGUAAAUGAAUGAAGCCUUGCUGAAUGGAAACAGCUCCCGGGAAGCCACGUGGAGAAGAUGGAAAGAGCACCAGGCAUGUUAAGGUCACUAACUGAGAACACGGCUGAAGACAGAAGAAUGAGCGUAGUUAUAACCUUCAUAAGGACAGAGGAGACAAAGGGUAAUGCUAGCUGCUGUAAUGCCCAAACAUCAACAUUUCAGAAGUUUACCACCACGGAAGUUCAUUUCUCCCUCAUAAGAGUCCAAUGCUGGUGUUUCUGCUCGGUGAGUAUCUUAUUCUUCCUCUGGUGACUCAGGCCCAGGGCAUUCCUUCCAUCCCCAUUGCACUGCCCCACCAUCU